rnacentral:rRNA from 1 species
CCUACGGAUGGCAGCAGUGGGGAAUAUUGCACAAUGGGGGACACCCUGAUGCAGCGACGCCGCGUGAAUGAAGAAGUACCUCGUUAUUUAAAGCUUCAUUAGCAGGGAAGAAAAUGACGGUACCUGUGUCUGAAGCCCCGGCUAACUACGUGCCAGCAGCCGCGGCAAUACGUAGGGGGCAAGCGUUAUCCGGAUUUACCGGGUGUAAAGGGAGCGUAGACGGCAGUGCAAGUCUGGAGUGAAUGGCGGGGGCUCAACCCCCGGACUGCUCGGGAAACUGUACGGCUGGAGUGCAGGAGAGGUAAGUGGAAUGCGUGGUGUAGCGGUGAAAUGCGUAGAUAUUAGGAGGAACACCGGUGGCGAAGGCGGCUUACUGGACUGUAACUGACGUUGAGGCUCGAAAGCGUGGGGAGCAAACAGGAUUAGAUACCCCAGUAGUC